rnacentral:lncRNA from 1 species
AGCGGAGCGCGGAGCUCUGCCCUGGGCGCGGUGCCGGCCGUGCGGGGCCUUCGGGGCGCUGCGGGGAAGGGGCUGUCUGGAAAGAAUGUACUGACAUAAAUCUCCGCAGCGUGAGAUAAAGCAUCGGGCGUGUUUUAGUGCUUCGUAGGAAGAUAAUUUCCUUGCGGUUUCUCGCAAGAGGUGUCAGGGGCAUCGCUUGCUGGACGGGAUUCCAGAAGGCAGUGUGGCUGUAUAGGGGCUCGGCUUUGUUUUCUGCCCCGCCGACGUAAGUGAUGCGCCCCAAUCCGUCGGCAGCCGUGGUUGGUGUGCGCCGGGUGUCCCCUGGGCGUGAGGAGCGGUCCUUCAACUGCCGGCUCUGGGCCGGGCUUCCGAGCGUGCGCCUUUGUUUGGUUUGGUUUCUUCAGGUGGUUAAAAAAGGGGGGGAAACGCUGUUCCUUUUCGGCGUUCCCAGCACAGUAUUUCAAGCUCCUCUUUGCCGAGAGGAUUCAGCGGAGUGGGUUUUGCUGGAGUUGCGAUAGAUUGGGUUAUUUGCAGAAGGGAUUCCUCAGAGGCCUUGUCUCCAUUAAGCAAUUACAUUAUUGUUUUUACCCAGCAGUACAGCUCCUGUGCGAGCGCCGGCAGCUCUGGUUUUACAGUGAAGGUCAGUUAUACUUCUGCCCUACAUCCGUAACUGUGCCGUGUCAGAGCUCCGAGGACGCAGGGGAUGCUGUUCCUCGGGUCCCGAACCCUGGGAGAUGUUCAAAGGCCUUUUGAGAGCCCUGGGAGAAUUGGGGGUGGUGGGGAGGGCACUUCAAGUCCUUGCAACGUCAUAAUCCUAAAUGUAGCCUUUAUUUCUUUUUUGCAGGAACAAAAAGCCCUGAUUCUUUAUACCAAAGGAAAGAAAAUGCACCGAAUGGCUUUUUUCUUUUUUUUUUUUUUUUUCCAUAUUCAGGUAGCUUUGGGUGUUCUGGCAAUGCCCAUGAAGAUCAAGGAGCAGAAUAAAAUCUGUGAUGUGACAGCAGCCCAGGUGGAGAUCUGCAUGCUCCCUUGGCAGAUGAUGUUUGUAGAGAAGUGCGUGGAAGUGGAUGCUUGGCUGUGUCCUGGUAUUGGUGACACAGGAUAAGCUACAUUGGCUGCAUUACUUCAAGAUUAGGAAGGAGACCUUUGGGUAUAGGCUGUGCGUAGAGAACCAUUUUGCUAUUACUCACUACGCAGGUAAAAUUGUUUUUCCUGGGGAAAAGAGGUGGUUGCACUGGGAAAACUGGCUGCUUGGAGUAGUACAAUUAGCAGCGCUGGUGUGCCUGGGUUUUCAAAUGCUGAGAAGCACCAGGAAUAAACUUAUCACUGUGCUGUACCCACGUGAUGUGUAUAAUCAGCUGUGAAUUAUUUAUUUCUGUUUUAACUGCAGCUAGUCAGCAUUUCUAGACCAUAGCGAGACGCUGGUCUGGGUAGGCACAAAUCCCUCAGACUGAGCAGAAGCGGAGCACACGGAUGGCAUUUCAGUGUCAGUUCCCAGAUAUCGUGCAGCACUACAAAAUAUUCCAGCAGUGGCAGGAGCACUGGAAAUGCUACUUAAUGAUCACACAGCAGGAGCAGCCCCUCUGCUGAUAAACGCUUCUCUGGGCUGGACAGUGUGGAAACAGCGUUAAAAGAAACCAGGCCCACUUGUCCUGCCAAACAGGUUGUUGCCAUGCACAGUCGAACUGCAGCAGCUUUAGUGCAACAACAGGGUUUAGGAGAAAAAUCAUAGCGUAGCCAUGAAAUGAGCUGUCGGAGAGAACCAGCAGGACAGUAUGUGUAUGGAGAUUGUACUGCUGGUGACAAAGCGUAAGCCCUGGCCUUGGAAAAAAUUAGUGUGCAGAGAGCUGCAGCAUAACAUUACAGUGUGCCAACUAGUUUACUGUGGGAAAUGUGUGCUGCUUCACUUUUAAUCUCUAUUCUUUUCAUAGGGGUAUUGGAAAAGGAAGUAAAACAGCUGCUGUAAAGCCUAGCAAGUGACGUGAUUCUUGUGAAUAGUUGUGAAAAAAAAAUGUAGAGCUAUUUAUGAAUGGAAAGCAUUAUACAAGUAAAAUGUAAACAGUUGGUAUGUUUGAGCUACCUUCGAGGCAUCUUCAGUUUCAAAGUAUUGCAUAAAGUUACUUGAAACCAUUAGGUGAAAUUUGUCUCCUCUAUUCUUUCUGAGAUUUCUGCAUAGUGAGAAGACAAAAUCAAAGUCCUCUUUGAGGAGUUUGCAGUCCAGCUCAGCUUUCUUAUAGGUAGUCCCACCGAAUGUGAUCUAACUCUAUAAACCAUCACAUAUUCAAUAAGAAAUAGUAGUGUGGGAGAAGCAAGAGAACAGAAGACAGAAACUGCUCUAUUUGUGAGUGAUAAGGAGAAGUGAUUUGUUAUUCCUUUCCUUACUGAACAGUGUAAAUGCUCUGUUCUCUUCUAAGGCGCUUAAGACACCUAAGCUACCGUAAGCCAUUACUGUGGUUAUUAGUUCAGCCCUCAAAGAGUAAUAUGUAUUUCACAGAACAAAUAAGAUAAAUGCCCUUUUACCAUAGAGCUUGCAAACUAUGUUUUGUCACAGGUGAGAGCAACAACUAGAAAAGAGGUCUAUACGGAAGAAAUGCAGAAAUAUGGGUAGGCUUCUGCAGUCCUCUCCGUUCUCUGAGACACCAGGAAGCACGGUGCCUGUGUGGUUACCUGCUGCGAGGGGAUCACGGCUGUGCAAUUUUGCUCUUUAAUCAUAUUGAUGCAUAUCUAUCCCUGGGGGAGCUGGUGGUUGUAAGUAACAGGAGUGUGCAGGAUCUCUGUAUUUCUGCUCGUGGGCCAUUGCAAUCUGUGCAAUGGAUGCCCAAGGUUCUGUUGCGUAGGGAAGGUUUGUGUGAAGGUAGGGUCGUGCUCUGCUGGCUGCCAGCCAGCUGCCCAUAUGGUUGCCAGAAUGCAGCAUUAAUUUUCUGAGGCAGCGUGUGUCCGAAAUACAGUGCCACACCAUAUAAAUCAGCACGCUAUUGGAAGUUAUAAAUUCACAGAUAAGAUGGAAUUGUUAAAGUAACCCUUACUGUGGCUUCUUGAGUGUACACAUGUUUUUAGAGCAGAAGCAUCAGAGCUGGAAUUCUGCAUAGCGUAAUGCAAAAGCUUACAGGAGAGCAGCAGGAACACUGCAAACCUGGGUCAUCAAACUGCAGUCCUUACGUGGAUGGCACACCCACUGAGGGGAAGGAAGGAAAGCACUACACAGUAUAAAUGGCAGCUAAUCACUUAUCUUGGUAAAUUUACCCUUUGUUUUAUAUGUGGAAGAAUAACAAAAAACUGCCAAAACAAUUCCUUGAAGAGGAGGAUGCUUAAUUUUUAUUACAAACAAGACUUUUCCAAGUAAUUUGGUGGUGAACACUGAUUCACUUAAGACUUAGGUUCAUAGCGCUUGUGUUCAGGCCUACCUGUGCACGUAGGUUCAGAGCGCAGACUAGAUUCAGACCUGUCUUUAUUGAAGCACGUUCUUUGAUCCAUGUUCAACAAGAUGGACAGGAGUUUGACUGCCUUGGAGCAUGUGAAUAUUCACAUUGAUUUCAGCAAGAUGUCUGUCUGUCUUCAGCUGAACCAGUCUUGGAAAUGAGAAGCACAUGCGAGUCUCUCACAUACACAGGAUCAUGCCCCAGUGAGAUGUUUGCAAUCAGUGUUGUCCAGUACUGGAAUCCUCCUGGUACCUUCAGAUUGAUACUGAAAGCUUUCCCAGAAAAUGCUUUUUACCCAGGGAGUGAUGUUCUCAACACAGAAGUGAUUAGGACAAAUUUAGUGGCUGGUAUACACAUUAGAUUAGGAGAUGAUCUCUCCUGACCUUGUCUCAUACAAUUUGAAAUGCAAUCAGUUUAACAUUUGGAGGAGAUGUAGAUACAACAAAAGCUUUCUACUAGGUUUUUUGUUGUUGUUGCUUUUGUGGGUUUUUUUGGUUUUCUUUGUUUUAAUAAGAGAUCUCUAUUUUGAAGUAUUUUCAACCGAACUGCUGUGUCCUGAGAAAGGGCAGGAAACUGUCUGACCAUAAGAGGGGAAAGAAAGAAAAAAGUCAAUGUAAAGUUGUCAAGUGUAAAUUAACCGUGUAAAUAGACCCUAUUUCCAGAAACUAAGCUCCCCUCCCUGUGAUAUACAGCAUUAUUUAAUAAAUGGUAAAGGCGCUUAGAUAGAAGUUGCACAUUUCUUUUAAAUUGAGGAUAGCUCUCCAAUCAAUAGCCCGAACAAGGCUAUUAGUUACAACAAUGUAUAAUCGUUUCAAGACUCUUUCAGCAAGAUAUAGUGGGUGUUUGGUCUUGUAAUUAACCCACCACCAUUGGCCACGCAUUCUCUCCACCCUGUAAUUACUCAACUUAAAAAACACCACCAUUCACAGCAUACAUUGUAUAGAACAUUAUAAUUGUAAUGUUUUUACACUCACACAGUGUUUAUAACUCACCCAUACAUUUCAGGAGCAGAAGCCAUUUGUCCAGAUCUAAGCAUUUUUUGGAUCAGAAAGGUUAAUUUGGAAACAACUUGAGUUAGCAUGCACAGAGUCAUUGGCUUCUUGUAUUUAUUUAACUUUUUUUGGAACUAAUCUAGAAGUACUGAAUGGAUUUUCACUUAAAAAUGCCUUGCCACUGAGCUAAGAAUGUAAUGGAUAAUGAAUCAUUUGCUCCAACAAAUUGCUGUUCUUUCUGAUUGUAGAACAUGCGUAAGUCCUGUACGUAGAGAAAUUCAGCCUCAAAAGAAAAUGCUUCAGGAAACUUAUAAGUGAAAACUUUGGUGUAAGCCUGUGAAAAGAAAAUGCCUGCUCAGCAAAAGCAAACAAACAAACAAAAAUCACCCAACAAUCUUCUCUCAGCAAGUUUUCCUUUGUAAUGCUUUCUCAUUCUCGAGGUCUUUGGCCAGAACAAGCAUGGAAUAGAAGCAGACUUGUGCAUAAGAGUAAAAAGCAACAGAAAGCAUCUGGAAAGCCUACUGUAGAAACCUGCCGUGAGAUUUCUUUUAACUAACCUGAAUUGUUUGAAAAUCAAAAAAUGAGUGUUAGUGUAGACCCUCUCCGAGGGUAGUGGAGAAUAGUAGACAUUUCCAGAAGGAUUCAGAUCUCUGCCUUGUGACAGGGUUAAUCAGCUUAUUAUUCAUGUCCUUAUGCUACCUUUUAGAUCACAGAAUCAGAGAAUGGUCUGGGUUGGAAUGGACUUUAAGAUCACCCGUUUCCAACCCCCUUGCUACAGGCAGGGACACCUCCCACUAGACCAGGUUGCUCAAAGCCCCAUCCAGCCUGGCCUUGAAUGCUUCCAGGGAGGGGGCAUCCAC